rnacentral:rRNA from 1 species
GAUGAACGCUGGCGGCGUGCUUAACACAUGCAAGUCGAACGAUGAAGCCCAGCUUGCUGGGUGGAUUAGUGGCGAACGGGUGAGUAACACGUGAGUAACCUGCCCUUAACUCUGGGAUAAGCCUGGGAAACUGGGUCUAAUGCCGGAUAGGAGCGUCCACCGCAUGGUGGGUGUUGGAAAGAUUUAUCGGUUUUGGCUGGACUCGCGGCCUAUCAGCUUGUUGGUGAGGUAAUGGCUCACCAAGGCGACGACGGGUAGCCGGCCUGAGAGGGUGACCGGCCACACUGGGACUGAGACACGGCCCAGACUCCUACGGGAGGCAGCAGUGGGGAAUAUUGCACAAUGGGCGCAAGCCUGAUGCAGCGACGCCGCGUGAGGGAUGACGGCCUUCGGGUUGUAAACCUCUUUCAGUAGGGAAGAAGCGAAAGUGACGGUACCUGCAGAAGAAGCACCGGCUAACUACGUG